CUCCAAAGAGAGCUGACUCGACCAAUUUGGACUUAUAAAUAAGUUCGUACUGCUGCUGGAGGUGUUGUUCAACCAAAGUGGUUUGCAACCGAACAACAAGCCCUGAUGACCCAUCACCUGAGAAGAUCAACGUCGGCGCUACAAACAACGCUGGACCCCUGGUGGUGUCCCAGCAUGUAAGAGGCAGAAAGCAGCCCUUGCUGACUUCCUGCUCUGAUCCAUUUCUGUCCUCUGCGAACCCUUGGGUAGGAUUGUGACAUAGUACUUCAAAUCUAAGGUAUUUUGCUUCAGUAGUGCCAGGAUUUAUGCAGUAUGCUCCCACGCUUGCUCAUCUCUGUCAGCAAACUCCAGGCUGAGGAGGUGGAUCUCAAAAGGUGGGUCUACACAUUCAGAUAAAUUACAUUAAAGAUUUAAUGUACAAUGCUUUUAACUGAAGAAUUAUUUCAACUGCUAGUCUGAUAAACACUCACGUCUUAAUUCUUGUCAGUAAUUCUGGUGAUACGCGGUUGGAUUUAUAGUGUUCUUCAAGUAGGUGCUUUAUUACUUAUCCAACAGAUCUGUACCCAGGAGAACUCAAAUGAGAGGAUUUGGAAAGAUGAAGAGAUAAGGCAGAAACAUAUAAAUGCAGGAUUUAGAGUUCUGUCCAAGGAAAAUAUCAAUUGUCAUGAACAAAUUAUUUUAAAGAUUAUAAGACAAUUCAAGCUUUUACAUCAGUUUUUCUUGCAGCACCACAAUUACUGCUUCUUUUUUGAAUUGAGCAAUGGCAUCCUUUUUUUCACAUCAUACAUUUCUUUCAACUCCGUGCCCUUUGCAGAAGUAUAGCGAGUAGAAAAGAGUAUAGAAAUUAUGAAAAGCAGGGAAGUGUCUGGUAGAGGCAUGUGCAAAUGAGCAAGAAGAAAAGAAAUGUAUGGAGAAAGAGAAGAAAGAGCAGUACAUCCACAGAAGAGCCAAUAGACUGAAUGACCUGACUUCAGAUACCUGGCAAGUUGCUAGCAAGAUGACUGUUUUACUUUUUAAUACAGCAAUUUUGAUGUGGGAUAAGCAAAAGUUGGAUCUCCUGCCCCAUUACAUCUCCAGAUGAAUGUUCGUUUUCUUAGCACACUAUGGAUGUGUUCAUUCUGCUGCCCAUAGCAUGUCCAGACUGCUCAUCUCACUGGCACUUUGCUGUCUGCAUUGCAGACCCUCAUCACAUGUUUUCCUGUCAUCUGAUAUCUGUUCACGUGAUAGGGGAACUUGUGAUAAUAGAUGCAUGGCCAUAGUCUAUUGCUGUCAAGUGCCUUCACAAAAUGCAGGUUUUGGUGUCAUUAGUCACUGAAGGAGGUGUGUAGUGGGGCUCUGAAUGUGAUGGGCAUUUGCUUCAGAAUUGCACUGAUCUGAACGGAAAUGCUAACAAAAUGAGAACGCAUACCGAAUGCAAGUUUGUUAAAGAAAGAGACUUAUAGACUGUCAACCUCACCGAGGAGCAAGAAGCAGUAGUCACAAAAU